rnacentral:rRNA from 1 species
UACGUAGGGCGCAAGCGUUGUCCGGAAUUAUUGGGCGUAAAGAGCUACGUAGGCGGCUUGUCACGUCGGGUGUGAAAGCCCGGGGCUUAACCCCGGGUCUGCAUUCGAUACGGGCUGGCUAGAGUGUGGUAGGGGAGGAUCGGAAUUCCUGGUGUAGCGGUGAAAUGCGCAGAUAUCAGGAGGAACACCGGUGGCGAAGGCGGAUCUCUGGGCCAUUACUGACGCUGAGGAGCGAAAGCGUGGGGAGCGAACAGG